ensembl:lncRNA
GGCCAGAGACGCUGCAGGAGCAGGGCACGGUCGAACGUGGGGACGGGGUAGUCUCAGAUGUAGGAACAGAGGUUGGACUGGUUGUAGGAGCUGAGGUUGCGCUGCUUGUGUGCACAGAGGUUGAGCUCAUUGUAGGAACUGAGGUUGUGCUGCUUGUCUGCACAGGGGUUGCACUGGUUGUUGGAGCCGAGGUUGCACUGCUUGUCUGCACAGAGAUUGUACUGGUUGUAGGAGCUGAGGUUGCACUGCUUGUGUGCACAGGGGUUACACUGGUAGUAGGAGUCGAGGUGGUGCUGCUUGUCUGCACAGAGGUUGAGCUCGUUGUAGGAGCUGAGGUUGCACUGCUUGUGUGCACAGGGGUUGGACUGGUUGUCGGAGCUGAGGUUGUGCUGCUUGUCUGCACAGAGGUUGAGCUCGUUGUAGGAACUGAGGUGGUGCUGCUUGUCUGCACAGGGGUUGCACUGGUUGUAGGAGCCGAGGUGGUGCUGCUUGUGUGCACAGAGGUUGCACUGGAUGUGGCCUCAUGGAAGGUGGUCCCUGUGUGCACAGUGACACUCACACUGGAGGUGCUGGUUACUGUGACAGUCGGGGGAGGGCAGUGUUCUCGGGGCUCGCAGCACAGCACUCUGAUCUGGUAGUUGAGGCACAGCCUGGUCUUGCCCUUCUGGUCCUGGUUCCGACACAGCAGGCCCACGUCCUGGUGGCACUGUACCAGCUGGCCCAGCUCGUGGAUGCUGACCCCGGGGUGGUUCUCGGCUCGGCACUCCACUUUGCUGAUGGAUUCAGGUCGGUGGCAGAUGCUGUCUCCAUUCCUCAUGAUGUUGCCGAAGGUUUCAUUGUCUCCCCCGUGGGGCCCGG